AUGCAUCAACUCCGUAAUCUCAUCACAUAUGCUUUGUUAAUUGCAACUACAGAGAAAUUGAUGAACAAACAUCAAAAUUAGUUUGCCAAUUACAAACCAUAUAGUAUGUCCUCUGCUUAAAAGGUAAUAACACAUGUACAUGAUCUACAAUUCUUUGUUGGCAUACUAUCAGUAGGAGAACAGGAAUAUUUCCAGGAAACUGAUUGAUCCAGACAACAUCCUUCAAAACAAUGUGGUACCUGACAUGUAUACAUUAAACUUAUCGUCAGCAACUAAGAAUUUCCGGACAAGUAAAAUAAGGUGCUUACAAGAUGUCCUCACUAUCAUUUACUGCUUACAUACUUUGUGAUAACCCUGAUGAGGAAUAAAAUUCUUAGAAAGUUAAAUAUGAUUGAAUUUCGACUAUCAAUAUGAUAAUAGCCCAUCCAAGUGCAUGGGUCAACUAUCAAAAUACUUGAUACUCUUUGCAUGUUGUUGUUCUUGGACAAAAUCCUUACAUUUUCCCUCAUAUUUUUCAGGAUUAACUACCUGCAGUCAGCAUGCGUCGAACUCGCAAUGGACUCGACAAAAACAACAAUAGGUAUUCGUUACCACAAUAUAAAAACAAUUUUAUACCCAUUAAUUUACCUAGAUUAUUAAAAUGGCACCAAAAUCUAAUGUAGCAAUGAAAGACCUGACAAAGCAACCUCCAAACUUGCCACUCUACAAUCUAAUGAUAAUCAACCAGACAUCAUUAGAGCAGCAAUGAAGGAUGCUGCACGGAAAAGGAAAUAAAUACUUCAGCAGAAAAGGAAUCAGGUGCUUAUAAGAUGUCCUCACUAGCAUGUACUUAAUUUUUGUUGCGAUGUUCCCAAUGAGGAAUAGAUUUUAAUUUCUACAGUCAAGGUUAAAUGCCAGAUCUUUGCCUCCAGAAAGGAAAUACUGCUAACUUCCAUAUACUUAAUUCUAUCUGCAUGUUGUUGCUCUCAAACAAAGCAUUACAAUUUUUCCCUCAUUUCAGGAUUCACUAGCUGCACUCGACUUGCGUCGAAGUAACGUGGACCAAAUCAAAACAAUAGAAGGUAUUCAUUACCCCAAUACCAAAAAAUAAUUAUAUAGCCAUUAAUUUUCCUGGAUUAUUCAAAUGAUACCAAAAUAUAAUACAGCAAUAUAUUGGGUGAUCAAACAAUACAAAUAC
rnacentral:lncRNA from 1 species